GGCAAUCUGCCCUUCACUCUGGGACAAGCCCUGGAAACGGGGUCUAAUACCGGAUAACACUCUGUCCCGCAUGGGACGGGGUUGAAAGCUCCGGCGGUGAAGGAUGAGCCCGCGGCCUAUCAGCUUGUUGGUGGGGUAAUGGCCUACCAAGGCGACGACGGGUAGCCGGCCUGAGAGGGCGACCGGCCACACUGGGACUGAGACACGGCCCAGACUCCUACGGGAGGCAGCAGUGGGGAAUAUUGCACAAUGGGCGAAAGCCUGAUGCAGCGACGCCGCGUGAGGGAUGACGGCCUUCGGGUUGUAAACCUCUUUCAGCAGGGAAGAAGCGAAAGUGACGGUACCUGCAGAAGAAGCGCCGGCUAACUACGUGCCAGCAGCCGCGGUAAUACGUAGGGCGCAAGCGUUGUCCGGAAUUAUUGGGCGUAAAGAGCUCGUAGGCGGCUUGUCACGUCGGAUGUGAAAGCCCGGGGCUUAACCCCGGGUCUGCAUUCGAUACGGGCUAGCUAGAGUGUGGU
rnacentral:rRNA from 1 species